CGCGCAGGCGGCGGUGUAAGCAUGGCGUGAAAGCCCCCGGCUCAACCGGGGAGGGUCGUCGUGGACUGCACCGCUUGAGGGCGAUAGGGGCUGGUGGAAUGCCUGGUGUAGUGGUGAAAUGCGUAGAGAUCAGGCGGAACACCCGUGGCGAAGGCGGCCAGCUGGGUCGUCCCUGACGCUGAGGCGCGAAGGCGUGGGGAGCGAACG
rnacentral:rRNA from 1 species